AUUGAACGCUGGCGGCAGGCUUAACACAUGCAAGUCGAGCGGGGUGAUGGUGCUUGCACUAUCACUUAGCGGCGGACGGGUGAGUAAUGCUUAGGAAUCUGCCUAUUAGUGGGGGACAACAUCUCGAAAGGGAUGCUAAUACCGCAUACGUCCUACGGGAGAAAGCAGGGGAUCACUUGUGACCUUGCGCUAAUAGAUGAGCCUAAGUCGGAUUAGCUAGUUGGUGGGGUAAAGGCCUACCAAGGCGACGAUCUGUAGCGGGUCUGAGAGGAUGAUCCGCCCCACUGGGACCGAGACACGGCCCAGACUCCGACGGGAGGCUGCAGUUGGGAAUAUUGGACAAUGGGGGGAACCCUGAUCCAGCCAUGCCGCGUGUGUGAAGAAGGCCUUAUGGUUGUAAAGCACUUUAAGCGAGGAGGAGGCUCUUUUGGUUAAUACCCAAGAUGAGUGGACGUUACUCGCAGAAUAAGCACCGGCUAACUCUGUGCCAGCCGCCGCUGUAA
rnacentral:rRNA from 1 species